AGGAUGAACGCUGGCGGUCUGCUUAACACAUGCAAGUCGAACGGAGUAGCAAUACUUAGUGGCGGACGGGUGAGUAACGCGUGAGAAUCUACCUUCAGGACGGAGACAACAGUUGGAAACGACUGCUAACCCCCGAUGUACCGAAAGGGCAAAUAUUUAUAGCCUGAAGAAGAGCUCGCGUCCGAUUAGCUAGUUGGAGAGGUAAAAGCUCACCAAGGCGACGAUCGGUAGCUGGUCUGAGAGGACGAUCAGCCACACUGGGACUGAGACACGGCCCAGACUCCUACGGGAGGCAGCAGUGGGAAUUUUCCGCAAUGGGCGAAAGCCUGACGGAGCAAGACCGCGUGGGGGAAGAAGGCUCUUGGGUUGUAAACCCUUUUCUCUGGAAGAACGCAAUGACGGUACCAGAGGAAUCAGCAUCGGCUAACUCCGUGCCAGCAGCCGC
rnacentral:rRNA from 1 species